rnacentral:rRNA from 1 species
GACGAACGCUGGCGGCGUGCUUGACACAUGCAAGUCGAACGGAAAGGCCUGCUUUCCCUUGUGGAUUGCGGGUACUCGAGUGGCGAACGGGUGAGUAACACGUGAGUGAUCUGCCCCCAACUUGGGUAUAAGCCUGGGAAACUGGGUCUAAUUCCCGAUAGGACUGCAGGGUGGUGCCUGUGGUGGAAAACGAUUUUCUAGUGGUUGGGGAUGAGCUCGCGGCCUAUCAGCUUGUUGGUGGGGUAAUGGCCUACCAAGGCGGCGACGGGUAGCCGGCCUGAGAGGGUGGACGGCCACAUUGGGACUGAGAUACGGCCCAGACUACGACGGGAGGCAGCAGUGGGGAAUAUUGCACAAUGGGCGGAAGCCUGAUGCAGCGACGCCGCGUGGGGGAUGACGGCCUUCGGGUUGUAAACUCCUUUCGACCGCGAGGAAGCCACCUGGUUGGAAGGGUGGUGACGGUAGUGGUAGAAGAAGCACCGGCUAACUACGUG